ACACUCCUGCGGGAGGCAGCGGUGGGGAAUAUUGGACAAUGGGCGCAAGCCUGAUCCAGCCAUGCCGCGUGAGUGAUGAAGGCCCUAGGGUUGUAAAGCUCUUUCACCGGUGAAGAUAAUGACGGUAACCGGAGAAGAAGCCCCGGCUAACUUCGUGCCAGCAGCCGCGGUAAUACGAAGGGGGCUAGCGUUGUUCGGAUUUACUGGGCGUAAAGCGCACGUAGGCGGACUAUUAAGUCAGGGGUGAAAUCCCGGGGCUCAACCCCGGAACUGCCUUUGAUACUGGUAGUCUUGAGUUCGAGAGAGGUGAGUGGAAUUCCGAGUGUAGAGGUGAAAUUCGUAGAUAUUCGGAGGAACACCAGUGGCGAAGGCGGCUCACUGGCUCGAUACUGACGCUCAUGCACGAAAGCGUGGGGAGCAAACAGGAUUAGAUACCCCGGUAGUCCC
rnacentral:rRNA from 1 species